CCCUGGCUCAGGACGAACGCUGGCGGCAUGCCUAAUACAUGCAAGUCGAGCGGAGUUGUUUUGAAAGCUUGCUUUCAAAACAACUUAGCGGCGGACGGGUGAGUAACACGUAGGUAACCUGCCUGUAAGACUGGGAUAACUACCGGAAACGGUAGCUAAUACCGGAUAAUUUGUUUCUUCUCAUGAAGAGACACUGAAAGGCGGAGUAAUCUGCCACUUAUAGAUGGGCCUGCGGCGCAUUAGCUAGUUGGUGAGGUAACGGCUCACCAAGGCGACGAUGCGUAGCCGACCUGAGAGGGUGAACGGCCACACUGGGACUGAGACACGGCCCAGACUCCUACGGGAGGCAGCAGUAGGGAAUCUUCCGCAAUGGACGAAAGUCUGACGGAGCAAUGCCGCGUGAGUGAUGAAGGUUUUCGGAUCGUAAAGCUCUGUUGCCAGGGAAGAACGCUUGGGAGAGUAACUGCUCUCAAGGUGACGGUACCUGAGAAGAAAGCCCCGGCUAACU
rnacentral:rRNA from 1 species